AUACGGAGGGUGCAAGCGUUAUUCGGAAUCACUGGGCGUAAAGGGUGCGUAGGCGGUUUGAUAAGUCUGAUGUGAAAUCCUAUGGCUCAACCAUAGAACUGCAUUGGAAACUGUCAGACUAGAAUACUGAAGGGGCAGGUGGAAUUAGUGGUGUAGGGGUAAAAUCCGUAGAUAUCACUAGGAAUACCGAAAGCGAAAGCGAUCUGCUGGGAAGUUAUUGACGCUGAGGCACGAAAGCGUGGGGAGCAAACGGGAUUAGAAACCCUUGUAGUCC
rnacentral:rRNA from 1 species